rnacentral:rRNA from 1 species
ACGGGUGAGUAACGCGUGGGAACGUGCCCUUCGGUUCGGAAUAACUCAGGGAAACUUGAGCUAAUACCGGAUACGUGCGAGAGCAGAAAGGUUUACUGCCGAAGGAUCGGCCCGCGUCUGAUUAGCUAGUUGGUGAGGUUAUGGCUCACCAAGGCGACGAUCAGUAGCUGGUCUGAGAGGAUGAUCAGCCACACUGGGACUGAGACACGGCCCAGACUCCUACGGGAAGCAGCAGUGGGGAAUAUUGGACAAUGGGGGCAACCCUGAUCCAGCCAUGCCGCGUGAGUGAUGACGGCCUUAGGGUUGUAAAGCUCUUUUCUCCGGGACGAUAAUGACGGUACCGGAGGAAUAAGCCCCGGCUAACUUCGUGCCAGCAGCCGCGGUAAUACGAAGGGGGCUAGCGUUGCUCGGAAUCACUGGGCGUAAAGGGCGCGUAGGCGGCUGAUUUAGUCGAGGGUGAAAGCCCGUGGCUCAACCACGGAAUGGCCUUCGAUACUGAUUGGCUUGAGACCGGAAGAGGACAGCGGAACUGCGAGUGUAGAGGUGAAAUUCGUAGA